rnacentral:rRNA from 1 species
AUACGGAGGGUGCAAGCGUUAAUCGGAAUUACUGGGCGUAAAGCGCGCGUAGGCGGAUACUUAAGUCUCAUGUGAAAGCCCUGGGCUCAACCUGGGAACUGCAUGGGAUACUGGGUAUCUAGAAUACAGUAGAGGGUAGUGGAAUUUCAGGUGUAGCGGUGAAAUGCGUAGAGAUCUGAAGGAACAUCAGUGGCGAAGGCGACUACCUGGACUGAUAUCGACGCUGAGGUGCGAAAGCGUGGGGAGCAAACGGGAUUAGAAACCCUAGUAGUCC